rnacentral:rRNA from 1 species
GAUUAACGCUGGCGGCGUGCAUAACACAUACAAGUCGAACGAUGAAACUUUAAUGAACCCUUCGGGGAGAAUUAAAGCGGAUUAGUGGCGAACGGGUGAGUAACGCGUGAGUAACCUGCCUUACACAAGGGGAUAGCCUUUGGAAACGAAGAAUAAUACCCUAUAAAACCAUAAAAGCACAUGCAAUUAUGGUCAAAGUGAUAGCGGUGUAAGAUGGACUUGCGUCUGAUUAGCUAGUUGGUGAGAUAAAAGCCCACCAAGGCAACGAUCAGUAGCCGGCUUGAGAGAGUGUACGGCCACAUUGGGACUGAGACACGGCCCAGACUCCUACGGGAGGCAGCAGUGGGGAAUUUUGCACAAUGGGGGAAACCCUGAUGCAGCGACGCCGCGUGAUUUAGAAGGCCUUCGGGUUGUAAAAAUCUUUUGUAUAGGAAGAAAAUGACAGUACUAUACGAAUAAGGUCCGGCUAAUUACGUG